AACAGGAUUAGAUACCCUGGUAGUCCACGCCCUAAACGAUGUCAACUAGCUGUUGGGGCCUUCGGGCCUUGGUAGCGCAGCUAACGCGUGAAGUUGACCGCCUGGGGAGUACGGUCGCAAGAUUAAAACUCAAAGGAAUUGACGGGGACCCGCACAAGCGGUGGAUGAUGUGGAUUAAUUCGAUGCAACGCGAAAAACCUUACCUACUCUUGACAUGUCUGGAAUUCCGAAGAGAUUUGGAAGUGCUCGUAAGAGAACCGGAACACAGGUGCUGCAUGGCUGUCGUCAGCUCGUGUCGUGAGAUGUUGGGUUAAGUCCCGCAACGAGCGCAACCCUUGCCAUUAAUUGCUACGAAAGGGCACUCUAAUGAGACUGCCGGUGACAAACCGGAGGAAGGUGGGGAUGACGUCAAGUCCUCAUGGCCCUUAUGGGUAGGGCUUCACACGUCAUACAAUGGUCGGGACAGAGGGUCGCCAACCCGCGAGGGGGAGCCAAUCCCGGAAACCCGAUCGUAGUCCGGAUCGCAGUCUGCAACUCGACUGCGUGGAGUCGGAAUCGCUAGUAAUCGCGGAUCAGCAUGUCGCGGUGAAUACGUUCCCGGGUCUUGUACACACCGCCCGUCACACCAUGGGAGUGGGUUUUACCAGAAGUAGUUAGCCUAACCGCAAGGGGGGCGAUUACCACGGUAGAAUUCAUGACUGGGGUGAAGUCGUAACAAGGUAACC
rnacentral:rRNA from 1 species